GAGAGAUUUCAGGGUUCUGAGUCAGUUGAGACUGUUGGUCUUGCUAUGGGGUGGCCCUCCUCCUCAGCUUCUUCCAACAUUUCUCUACUUCAACCACAGGGCUCCCUGACUUCAGUUGGGUACAGUUCACUAUAGCUCCUGGUGCUGAUUCUCCUGCCAUCAUGAACUGUAACAUGAGACUGUGAAACAAAUAAGAACUACUUCACCCCACUGAUGGGAUCAAGCAUGGCAACAUAAUACAAUAUAAAAGAUGAUGGUGCUGCAGGAGAACUAAGGAUUACACUGGAAAUUCUACAUAUCUCAGAAGCAACAGCAACAUUCCUUGGACCUUGAUAUGAAUAGAGAAAUGUGAAGAUGUACCACUCUCAUCUCCCAAGAAAUAUAUCGAUGCAUAACAACAAGUGAUGGCCCACAGCUUUAACUCUCAUUCAGCAGCAAUAAGGAGAUAGCAUCCUUGGACAUAAGUAAAAGUCAAAUGGGGAUCCAGGAUGUUUACAUGCACGUGGCAAGAACAAAGUGCCAUAACUUCCUUUCCAUAUCAGAGUGGAGCCAAUGGAAGGCAGCUAAAAUAGAAAUUUAACAUC
rnacentral:lncRNA from 1 species